rnacentral:rRNA from 1 species
UUUUGUGGAGGGUUCGAUUCUGGCUCAGGAUGAACGCUGGCGGCGUGCUUAACACAUGCAAGUCGAACGGGAUCCCAGGAGCUUGCUCCUGGGUGAGAGUGGCGAACGGGUGAGUAAUGCGUGACCGACCUGCCCCAUACACCGGAAUAGCUCCUGGAAACGGGUGGUAAUGCCGGAUGCUCCAGUUGACCGCAUGGUCCUCUGGGAAAGCUUUUGCGGUAUGGGAUGGGGUCGCGUCCUAUCAGCUUGAUGGCGGGGUAACGGCCCACCAUGGC